UACGUAGGGUGCGAGCGUUGUCCGGAAUUAUUGGGCGUAAAGAGCUCGUAGGCGGUUUGUCGCGUCUGCUGUGAAAUUUCGGGGCUCAACCCCGAACUUGCAGUGGGUACGGGCAGACUAGAGUGUGGUAGGGGAGACUGGAAUUCCUGGUGUAGCGGUGAAAUGCGCAGAUAUCAGGAGGAACACCGAUGGCGAAGGCAGGUCUCUGGGCCACUACUGACGCUGAGAAGCGAAAGCAUGGGGAGCGAACAGG
rnacentral:rRNA from 1 species